AAGAAAAGAAACACAGCUCACAAUAAUGAGCCAGUCCCAUCGUUCACGUCAAUGAUCCGGCUCUAAGAACUGUUUCGUUCGCAACCGACACAUCACUAGUGUACAGGAAGGGCACGGUUUCCUCUCAGAAUAUUUAGUUUAAGUUUGCAGCUCUCCGCAGAAGCCAACUUCAGCACCCAAGAUGAAGAACUUCUGGCCAAAAUUUGCCAUCAAACAAUACAGCACGUAUGUCGCAGUGACUGUGAUUUUUUUUCACAAUUAUGUGCUUGACAAGGAUUUAAAGUGUACUUGUGAUGCUGAGGGAUCCUGCAAUUUAUACAUGGUUCUACCUUUUUUUAUUUUAUUUGCUUUACAACUCUGGACAGAUGAGCUGUUCAAGAGAGUCUGGAAAUACUCAUGGUCUACAUGCAUCUGUUGCGAGUGCGGGUGCAAAUUUUUCUUGUUUUUUUGCGUUCACUUUAUGAAGGCAGUUUGCAUUGGUCUGCUUUGGGUAGUGUCUGUGUUCAUUGAUGGAGACUGGUUUGUUUGCUGUUGGAAUUCAUAUGAAGAACAUCCACAGUUAGGCUGCAAAGACAAAGAAAACAUCACAGCUGAGGAACGAGUCCUGAUUGCUAAGCUGAAAAACAAAUCCAUGAUUAUCGGCUUGUGUAUACUCUUGGCUGGCUUUGUGGUGAUUAGCCUUGUGUUGCCAUGUGGAUGGAAGAAAUGCUUUGAGAAUAACUUAAGUUGCUGUCACAGAAAACUUCUUUAUGACAAAAUGAUCUUGGAGGAGGAAGAAAAUAUACUCACAGAGAUGAUAAGAAAAGCAGCAAAAGAUAAGCUGACCGAAGAAAUGCAGAAGAAACUUGACAGUGAUAGAUGGGGGGAAUGUUUUGAUGUUGCUGAACAUCUGAUUAAAAACAAAACUCCACCAGGACACAAGGAAGACAUUCGUCAUGAAAAUCAGCCGGCAGAGGGGGCCGCCCUAAUGGAGGAGUCUGUUUCAGAAAAAUGCACAACACAAAUGUGAGGAAAUUAUCGUCACUGCGACCAUCUUAUCAGAAUUCAGAAGUUUCAUUUUCAGUUUAUCAGAAAAAAAUAUGUCUGUACAUCACAAGUAAAAGGAAACUAUAGUAAAAUUGUUAUGUUAUCCUUAUAAAUACCAUGUUACGGUGAUACAUGUAUGUUUCAUAUAUUUCAAAGCUUUUCUUAUGUCACAUGAGUGUAGAUUUUUAAUGGUGCUUAUUUUAAUGUGUGAACAUGCUAUAAGGAGCAUCUACAGAAAACAUUUGAGUCAUUACGCAUCACUUUGUAGUUGACAACUUGCUUCUAGGCAUCUUUGCAGCCUUUGGUUGCCUUGGGAACCCUUUAAGUUAUUUACCAUCCGUUUAUAUUUGGAUCAACCGUAGUCUUCACUCUUGCUGGUAGCCUCAUUAUCACUCUGUUUAGACCCCAAAGUUUAACUUUUGACGUGCUCGCUUCACACUGACGUUGGCUAUUUUGUUUCAAGCUGCUUUCUGUGUGACCAUUUCUUUAAGCUCAAAUUUUACAAGUAGCCUAUUGAAGACAUUAAUAAUAUAGUUUUCACUGUUACUGUAACAUUUAAUGCCACCUGUGUACAAAUGACAUGCUCAUAUAAAGAAGCUGUGAAGUUUCAGGUUUGGCUAAAAUCAUAAAAAUGAAGCUUUUGGGUCUAGAAAGAGAAAAACAGAGAUUUUGAUUUUAACGUGCUAAGCUGAUAUUUGAAUAAUACUUUCAAAUGAA